AAAAAGGCAAACCGUGGGUUUCCGUGCCAACGUUUGACUGUCCGUCUUAUAUGAAAAUUUUUUAUAAUUAGUAUUUUCAUUGUUGUUAGAUGAUAAAACAUGAUAAAACAUGAUUAAUACUUUAUGCGUGACUUAUCUUUUUAAUUUUUUUCAUAAUUUUUUUAAAUAAGACGGACGGUCAAACGUUGGCACGGAAACCCACGGUUUGCCUUUUU
rfam:Oryza sativa Japonica Group DNA, chromosome 5, cultivar: Nipponbare, complete sequence.